rnacentral:rRNA from 1 species
UACGUAGGGUGCAAGCGUUGUCCGGAAUUAUUGGGCGUAAAGAGCUCGUAGGCGGUUUGUCGCGUCUGCUGUGAAAACGCGGGGCUCAACUCCGCGCCUGCAGUGGGUACGGGCAGACUAGAGUGCAGUAGGGGAGACUGGAAUUCCUGGUGUAGCGGUGAAAUGCGCAGAUAUCAGGAGGAACACCGAUGGCGAAGGCAGGUCUCUGGGCCACUACUGACGCUGAGAAGCGAAAGCAUGGGGGAGCGAACAGG